CCGUAGCUCAAUUGGAUAGAGCGUCUGGCUACGGACCAGAAGGUUGCAGGUUCGAUUCCUACCGGGUG
rnacentral:tRNA from 1 species